rnacentral:rRNA from 1 species
CUUGUACACUAUAAGAGGUCCCGCCUGCCCAGUGAUUAUUUAACGGCCGCGUGAUUUUAAGCGCGCAAAGGUAGCGAAAUCAUUUGUUCUUUAAAUGAGGACCAGUAUCAACGGCAUCACGAGGACUUCACUGUCUCCUCUUCCUAAUCAGUGAAACUAAUCUCCCUGUGAAAAAGCAGGGAUAACACUAUAAGACGAGAAGACCCCAUGGAGCUUUAAACUUUUGGCAACUUUUAGUAAAUCCACCACCCUUCAAUACCUAAGCUAUGACCAAUCGUUUUAGGUUGGGGCGACCGCGGAGUAAAACUUAACCUCCCUGACGAAAGGACAUCUCCUAAUCUAAGAAAGACAUUUCUAAGAAUCACUAACCUGAUGUUUUAUGACCCGACUAUCGAUCAACGAACUA